CUACGGGCCGCACCAGUGAGGAAUAUUGCACAAUGGGGGGAACCCUGAUGCAGCAACGCCGCGUGGAGGAUGACGCAUUUCGGUGUGUAAACUCCUUUUAUAUGUCAAGAAAAUGACGGUAGCAUAUGAAUAAGCACCGGCUAACUCCGUGCCAGCAGCCGCGGUAAUACGGAGGGUGCAAGCGUUACUCGGAAUCACUGGGCGUAAAGGACGCGUAGGCGGGUUGGAAAGUCAGGGGUGAAAUCCUACAGCUUAACUGUAGAACUGCACUUGAAACUUCUAAUCUAGAGUAUGGGAGGGGGAGAUGGAAUUAGUGGUGUAGGGGUAAAAUCCGUAGAUAUCACUAGGAAAACCUAAAGCGAAGGCGAUCUCCUGGAACAUUACUGACGCUAAGGCGUGAAAGCGUGGGGAGCAAACAGGAUUAGAUACCCUAGUAGUC
rnacentral:rRNA from 1 species